rnacentral:rRNA from 1 species
CUCGUGUUGUGAAAUGUUGGGUUAAGUCCCGCAACGAGCGCAACCCUUAUCCUUUGUUGCCAGCGGUUAGGCCGGGAACUCAAAGGAGACUGCCAGUGAUAAACUGGAGGAAGGUGGGGAUGACGUCAAGUCAUCAUGGCCCUUACGACCAGGGCUACACACGUGCUACAAUGGCGCAUACAAAGAGAAGCGACCUCGCGAGAGCAAGCGGACCUCAUAAAGUGCGUCGUAGUCCGGAUUGGAGUCUGCAACUCGACUCCAUGAAGUCGGAAUCGCUAGUAAUCGUGGAUCAGAAUGCCACGGUGAAUACGUUCCCGGGCCUUGUACACACCGCCCGUCACACCAUGGGAGUGGGUUGCAAAAGAAGUAGGUAGCUUAACCUUCGGGAGGGCGCUUACCACUUUGUGAUUCAUGACUGGGGUGAAGUCGUAACAAGGUAACCGUAGGGGAACCUGCGGUUGGAUCACCUCCUUACCUUAAAGAA